rnacentral:rRNA from 1 species
ACGAACGCUGGCGGCGUGCCUUACACAUGCAAGUCGAACGGUAACGCGGGGCAACCUGGCGACGAGUGGCGAACGGGUGAGUAAUGCAUCGGAACGUGCCCAGUAGUGGGGGAUAGCCCGGCGAAAGCCGGAUUAAUACCGCAUACGACCUACGGGUGAAAGCGGGGGACCGCAAGGCCUCGCGCUAUUGGAGCGGCCGAUGUCGGAUUAGCUAGUUGGUGGGGUAAGGCCUACCAAGGCGACGAUCCGUAGCUG